CUCUACCCUAGGGCUAGGUAGCUCCUCCUCUCUACCCUAGGGUUAGGUAGCUCCUCCUCUCUAUCCUAGGGCUAGGUAGCUCCUCCUCUCUACCCUAGGGUUAGGUAGCUCCUCCUCUCUACCCAAGGGUUAGGUAGCGCCUCCUCUCUACCCUAGGGCUAGGGUUAGGUAGCUCCUCCUCUCUACCCUGGGGUUAGGUAGUUCCUCCUCUCUACCCUAGGGCUAGGGUUAGGUAGCUCCUCCUCUCUACCCUAGGGUUAGGUAGCUCCUCCACUCUACCCUAGGGCUAGGUAGCUCCUCCUCUCUACCCUAGGGUUAAGUAGCGCCUCCUCUCUACCCUAAGGUUAGGUAGCCCCUCCUCUCUACCCUAGGGUUAGGGAGCUCCUCCUCUCUACACAAGGGUUAGGUAGCUCCUCCUCUCUACCCAAGGGUUAGGGUUAGGUAGCUCCUCCUCUCUACCCAAGGGUUAGGGUUAGGUACAGUAGCUGUCUAGCUUGACUGUUGUUGGCUCCAUAGCUGGCUGUUUAUUCAGAUGUGUUCAGUUUCAGUAGAGACUCCCCUUACAGUUAGUGGAGUACAGUCAAUGAAACCCUGUGUGAGUGAAUAGAAAUGUUAAGAGCUCUUUGUCUGAGUGAAUGUCAUUGCUGGAGCGAGUUAUUGGGAUGAAUAUUCAUGUCCAUAUUCUGUAGUUCAGAAUAUGGGCAUGAAUGAGACAAGGUGGAAGCCUACAUGCAUGUCUUGGGUAAUGUCGUAGGUGGAGCACCUCUAGUAGGGGUCAGUGUGUCAUCAGCGGAGCCCCUACCUGUUGGACUGAAUGAUAUGACUUGUCCCCUGUUGGAAAGAGCUUGAUGGGUAAAUCCUCACUUGACUGUAGUGGCUGUGACUGGAGGAAACCUGUCAGUAUGACUGUGUGUGAUUGGUUGUCUGUUUUUACCUCACUAAUGGGACGACUCCAUGCUCACUGAAGGCCCUUCGAUAAGGACCUGUAAACACAUUCUAUUUCUCUAUAGCUUCUUUAUCAUCUUAAGUCUUAUAACGGCAUAUUAUAUACAGACUGGUCACUGUAUUACAAAUCUGUAGCAAAAAUAAGUGCCCAGACCAACAGCAUAGAAAUAAACACACAGACAUGUACACCCUCUCACUCAAUACACAGAUCACUAUACUGGCACAUACAGAAAUACACACUUACAAAUGCUCAUGUACACACAUAUACACAUUCUCUCUCUCUCUCUGUGUUUGUGUUAGAAUUAAUGGGACACCUUAAAUAUAUUUGUUUGGAUCCAAGAUGUAACUGAUACUAAAAGGGACUGUGAUUUCAGAGAUGGAGGGAAUACGUGACAUAAUCAGUAUCUCAUUGAAGAUUGACUCCAUUUAUACGAAAGACUUUCGAAGCAUCGAAGCAACUGCUUUUCAACUGUUCUAAAGUUCUCUGUGCAAGGGAGAGAGACUGAACAGGAGAGGGGAGGGAAAGAGAAACAAACUGCCAAAUCUUCCUCUUUCCCACCCAAUCCCCCCACUCCUUCCAAAAACUCUUUCUACAGAAGCAUGAGAACAUAAACUAAGGCCCAAAUGAGUGGGAGGAGAGAUAUGUUCUGUUUUAAUACUACAAUUGUUCUUACAACAAUUUUUUAACUUAAGAUGGGUCUGGAAUACUGCUAUUGAUAUGAAGUGAAUUAUUGUUACUAUUAUCGUUACUAUCAUCGUCCUUACUGUUAUAAGGUGCAGUUCCCCGUUCUGCCUUUCAUGGCUGAGGUGGCGCUCUUUUGCAUUUUAGGCAAUGUAUUUUCAUAAUUUUGCCAGAAGUGUUAGUCGAUAUAAUCCUAUAAACUUAUCAUGAGAUUCAUGACUGUAGGUCAAAGUAUGACACCAUGGUGUCUAACAAUUUAAAAUGUAUAUAAAUAUAAAAUUAUAUUGUUACUUCCAAAAAUACAGAAAAAAUAUCUAUUUAGUUUGAUGUACAAAAUGCUUUACAUAACAAGGCUUUUGUCUAGUCAUAAAACCACCACCUUUGCCCUCUUGUUUUGGUAUAAUAUUUUGAAAUGAAGGUUUGACUCAGAUUGACAUUGAGGCCUAGAUUCAAUCCGGAGGGUGGAAGACCCGCGUUAUAGCACGAUUGGCAUUUAAAGACAAUGUUCCCGCAUUCCCAGAGACUGCAUUCACAGUAAACACUGCAUUUGUAGGCUCAAAUGGAAAUUACCUCUCAAUGUCAAUUGCGCUAUAACGAGGAUAUUCCGCGUUCUGGGUUGAAUCUAGCCCUAAAUAUAUUUUUAUGCAAGAAUUCCUCUGCCAUCCAAGCUUCCUCUCACUUUAAGGCAGUGUCUGUGUCUAAAGCUGUGAAUAUACGUAUCACUUUAAACCUCACUGUGUGGAAGCCAAAGUUAGAUUCACUACCUUAUUCACAUUAUUUUAUGCAGAUCAAGAUGUAGCUAUUGUGCCCUGGAAAUGGCCACCAGACAAAUGGUAUUGUGAAAAAUAUGCAUAUAAUUAUUCACAUCAAAUGUGUUUAUUUUGUACAUUUCAAGUCAUUAUGGAUUAUUAAAGUAGUAUUUUAUUUAUUGCCAUUUCAUUGUUUAUCUACUCAUUUAAACAUUAAUUUAUGUCAGGGCUAUUCAACCGGGGGGUCCACAAAAUCCCCAAAGCAAAACGUGAUUUUUAUAUCGCUAUCAAUAACAGAAUAAACAUUUUGAAUUACAUACCUACAGUGGAGAAUAUCUUCUUUAUAAUGAUGUCAACUUUAUUAAUCAAGUCCUGAUAUAGAGCAAAUUACACUCAUUGAAGCCAAUAAUUACACCAGUGUCUGACAUAGGCUUUGAAACAGCACACAUAUGUUUCCAGUGUGGCGAGUGCUGCUGGAAAGCUGUCUUGACUUGGACAUACAUUUUUGAAAACACAUGGCAAACCUUUGUUUAACCAGAUAAACAGUUCUUAGUGAAAGUGUUUAAAUUACCUUUCUAGGUAAUAGGCUGUGUUAGAGUUUACACUUCCUCUUCCAAUUAUGUGAGUUCAAAGUAAUGACAAAUUAUCUACCAAAUCUAUUUUUAAAUGUUGAUUACUUCACCUUUCCACUGUCAAUCACCUGAUGAGAAUAUGUAAAAAAAAUGCUCAUGUAUGAUGGGGUCCCUGGGUCAAACGCUUGCCUGGGAGGGGGUCCCUGAGCAAGGAAAGGUUAAAUACCCUAUUUGUCAUUUUCACGAGAAUUAUACUAUUGACCUAUUUUCACCUUGCAUUUAGUUGGAUUGGGUGCUUUCAGCUUAAUCUGUGAUCAGUUGGACAUCUCUUUUCUCCAUCACUAAAAUUAAACAAGGGCUCUUCCAUUAUCUCUAUUUAUUUACUACUAAACACCACAUUUGAGUCCUAAAACACAUCCCCCAGCAGUGGGUGGGUAUUGGCAGGUUACAUGCAUGAGUGCUUUCCAUCUCACUCCAAUCUGGAGGAAUGUGAGGCCUUCAGAUCCUUGUCCUUAUGCCCACACGCUACACACUUAAGCUGUUUACACAGGGAGAACAAUUCAGUAACAUUUGAAAAACUGAUUUGUCAAAUGACCAAUUAGUGGAAAAAAUAUCAGAAUUGGGCUGCCUGUGUAGACAGCCUUACAUGAGCAGCAUUCAGGAUGGGGAAUGACAUUUGUGACUGUGGUGAUCAAGGUUAAACGAACGCAGGUGAUAUAGCAAUAAGGACGAUGAAAAUAAUGUUCACCCAAAUUAUGGUUUAAGAUGUAAAAAAUCUAACCCUAAAGAAUCUGUCUUCCAAAUAAUGUUUCAAAUGAAGGUAGUGUUAUUUAACUGAAGUGCUUUCUAUACCGCUCGCUCCAUUCCCUAUGGAAGACCUCUGUUCUGCAUGUCCUCCAGGCAUCAACUCCCUGCAGAAAGCCCCCUACACAGCUGCUGCACUGUGAGAGACUAUGUACUGUUCAGCUGGUUUACAGUCACUGCAUUAUGCAAUGGGUUCAUUAUCACAUUACUCUUAGAAUAUCAACAAGGUAUGAAUGCCUGUUCCUGCUGCUAUGACAACCUUACCAUUUACUAGUGUUGGGUAAAUGUGGCAGUGACAAACUUGUUUUGCAGUGUUUUUCACCACCAUCUCAUAGCAGGAUUCAAUAGGUGUAUAAUUAUGCUGUCAGGAUCUGGCUGUAUAGAAAGCACCAUCUUGUUUAAGAUAAUAUUUUAAACUGAUGAGAAGUAUGAGCCGAUGAACAGUAACUUACAGAAUGUGAUAUACAUAUGCACAUUCAUAUAAACAUAAAUAUAUGAAUGUCAAAUGUUAAGAUGAAUAAAUUAGAAUUAUAAUAAAGAUGCAGAAA